ensembl:misc_RNA 7SK 7SK RNA
GGAUGUGAGGGCGAUCUGGCUGCGACAUCUGUCACCCCAUUGAUCGCCAGGGUUGAUUCGGCUGAUCUGGCUGGCUAGGCAGGUGUCCCCUUCCUCCCUCACCGCUCCAUGUGCGUCCCUCCCGAAGCUGCGCGCUCGGUCGAAGAGGACGACCUUCCCCGAUAGAGGAGAGGACCGUUCUUCGGUCAAGGGUAUACGAGUAGCUGCGCUCCCCUGCUAGAACCUCCAAACAAGCUCUCAAAAAGUCAAGCCUGAGCAAAUCUAGCCUCUAGAUUUAACUCCCAUUUUAAAAGAAAUACAAGAUGAGAGAGAAACAUAUUUA